AUACGGAGGGGGUUAGCGUUGUUCGGAAUUACUGGGCGUAAAGCGUACGUAGGCGGAUCGGAAAGUAAGGGGUGAAAUCCCAGGGCUCAACCCUGGAACUGCCUCUUAAACUCCCGGUCUCGAGUUCGAGAGAGGUGAGUGGAAUUCCUAGUGUAGAGGUGAAAUUCGUAGAUAUUAGGAGGAACACCAGUGGCGAAGGCGGCUCACUGGCUCGAUACUGACGCUGAGGUACGAAAGUGUGGGGAGCAAACAGGAUUAGAUACCCCUGUAGUCC
rnacentral:rRNA from 1 species